rnacentral:misc_RNA from 1 species
AACCUUAUGGACCUGCGGGCGUAUACCUGCGGAAGGAUCAUUACAAAAAAGACCCAAGGGGUUUUUGGGUUUCGGCCCAAGAAUACCCAACCCACCUCUUGUGCACUGUUCACGUUCGCUUUGGCAGUUGCUUUGGCUUCUCUGGAAGUCAACUUCUCGCUGGCUCUAUCCUUUUUGGACAGCUGGUGGUGAAGCGGCCUGCCAAGGCUUUUUUUCGAAAUAACGCUUUUAGAAUCUACU